rnacentral:rRNA from 1 species
CCCGCACAAGCGGUGGAUUAUGUGGAUUAAUUCGAUGCAACGCGAAAACCUUACCCACCUUUGACAUGUACGGAAUCCUUUAGAGAUAGAGGAGUGCUCGAAAGAGAGCCGUAACACAGGUGCUGCAUGGCUGUCGUCAGCUCGUGUCGUGAGAUGUUGGGUUAAGUCCCGCAACGAGCGCAACCCUUGUCAUUAGUUGCUACAUUUGGUUGGGCACUCUAAUGAGACUGCCGGUGACAAGCCGGAGGAAGGUGGGGAUGACGUCAAGUCCUCAUGGCCUUUAUGACCAGGGCUACACACGUACUACAAUGGCCGGUACAAAGGGCAGCGACACAGCGAUGUGAAGCGAAUCCCGAAAAGCCGGUCUCAGUCCGGAUUGGAGUCUGCAACUCGACUCCAUGAAGUUGGAAUCGCUAGUAAUCGCGGAUCAGCACGCCGCGGUGAAUACGUUCCCGGGCCUU